CUCGCUUUGAGUUCUAAAGAGAAUACCUUAUGUAAUUGUUAAAACAUGCGUGUGUGUUGAGGAAGGAACGUGUACAGGUUUUUGCUUCCCACAGUUUUUAAAUAUAUUUUUUUCUGCAUUGAAUUUUCUCCUAUUUUUGCACCUUCUCUUCACCACUUCUACCUACCUAGGCUGGUAUCACCACUACCAAGGGACACUUUUCUACUAAUUAUUUUUUCAUUGGACACUAUCAACAAUUAUUUAUUUUUACUUAUUAUUAUUUUUUAUAUAUAUUUUUUCUAUUGGACACUAGCGUAAAGAUCUGCUACAACACCAACACUUUCCGGAUACACAUUUUUAGGAGCACCUCAGCAGAUUUAUCUUGGAUUUCAUGUUUUGGAUUAUUUUUUCCAGACUUCGUUUUGUUUUUUAACUUGAACACUAUCCACACAUAUUGGACACAUCUUUGAUUGCUAUAUUCGUCAUUGUUUUAUCGUUUUAUUAUUUUUAGCACACUCCUAAAAUUGUAUAUUUCACUUUGCAGAACACCCAUGGUAUUGUUGUGACUCCUGAUUUUAACUGUGCAAGUUGUAACAGUUGCUUAUUUACCCAUUAUUUUAUUUUUCAGUACCAAUUGUACAAGCGUGGAUCCAUGCUAUUUUUAACUUUGUAUUCUUAAACAUUGUAUUUUUAACAUUGUAUUUUAAACAGUGUAUCUUAUUUUAACAUCCUGUACUCUAUGUUAUAAUAAACCUUUGUAUACCUUAGCCUUCCUAAA